rnacentral:rRNA from 1 species
UGAGGAAUAUUGCCCAAUGGACGCAAGUCUGAGGCAGCAACGCCGCGUGGGCGAUGAAGGCCUUCGGGUUGUAAAGCCCUUUUCUGGGGGAAGAGGAAGGACGGUACCUCAGGAAUAAGUCACGGCUAACUACGUGCCAGCAGCCGCGGUAAUACGUAGGUGGCAAGCGUUAUCCGGAUUCACUGGGCGUAAAGCGCGUGCAGGCGGUUUCGUAAGUCGGACGUGAAAGCUCCUGGCUUAACUGGGAGAGGUCGUUCGAUACUGCGGGGCUUGAGGUCGGGAGAGGGACGUGGAAUUCCCGGUGUAGUGGUGGAAUGCGUAGAUAUCGGGAGGAACACCAGUGGCGAAGGCGACGUCCUGGCCCGCACCUGACGCUGAGACGCGAAAGCGUGGG